GACGAACGCUGGCGGCGUGCCUAACACAUGCAAGUCGAACGAGCGAGAGAGAGCUUGCUUUCUUGAGCGAGUGGCGCACGGGUGAGUAAAACGUGAGGAACCUGCCUCAAAGAGGCGGAGAACACUUGGAAACGACUGCUAAUACCGCAUAAGCCCACGGUGCCGCAUGGCACAAAGGGAAAAGGAGCAAUCCGCUUUCAGUUGGCCUGGCGUCCGAUUCGCUAGUGGGAGUGGUAACGGUCCACCAAGGCGACGAUCGGUAGCCGGACUGAGAGACUGAGCCGACACUCUGGGAGUGAGACACGGCACAGACUCCUACGGGAGGCAGGAAAGGGGGAUAUUGCAACAUGGGGGAAGUCAUGAUGGUGCUACGCCGCGUGGAGGAAGAAGGUCUUCAGAAUGUAAACUGCUGUUGUCGGGGAAGAUAAUGACGGUACCCAACAAGGAAGAGACGGCUAACUACGUG
rnacentral:rRNA from 1 species